rnacentral:lncRNA from 1 species
UUUUAAAUUAGGCCUAUUUUUAUUUUUGAAAGGUUAAAAAUAUGGAAUAAUUUCUGGAAAAUAUUUAAACGGGAGGACAGCGGGAUAGAAGUAAAAAUACGGGAUAAUCCCGGGAAAACGUGAGUGUUGACAGGUAUGGUGGUCAUCCUGUAUGGAUCCAAGCAUUAAACUGCACAACAAAAACUGGAGAGUUGACAUUUCAGGGUUAAACAUUUCCGAGUUGAUUUCAACUCAAGAAGUGUUACUUUAACAUUUUCUGAUUGAAAUGUUUUUUAUGGUUGGAGUUAUUUCACUGUUCAUCAUGUCAGAGUUAGACCAACUCUGCAGAGACGUGAUUAAGCUCCGCCCCUGUAUUUCACCGCUUCGGUUGGAGACGAGUCCACGAUAAAUCAGCUCGAUUUUCUCUCCUCAUGCAGUUGACAGGGGCGGCUUAACAUCAGCGAGACCCCAACAAAACGUGUCUCAACAGGCAUACAGUGGCUCACUUGUUGAACUUGUCUAGUUGUCCUAAAAAUGUUGGUCCAGGUGAAGUACAGACAACAGCAGAAGUAUGUGAAAUUGGAUGCAGUUGAAGGACAGUUUGACUUUCUACAAUUCAAUGAAAAAGGUGGAUCAAGACUUCACCCUCUAUUUGAUCAUGAAACAUCCUCCAGGCUCCUUCAGAAAUGGGAUGUGUUCUUCAGUCCAAAUGUCAUAAGAGGCUAA